rnacentral:lncRNA from 1 species
ACAAAUAGUCCGCUGUAUGAUUAGCUAGCUAGUGGAGCGAAAGCGGUGAUCUGAAACGUCAAACGUCUAAUUCACCAACCGAACAACCAGUAGCUUCCGUUUUCAGAGUAGCAUAUUCGAUUAUGUUAAUUGCAUAAACUUGACUAUGAACUUUAAAUAGGGCUGAACAUAGUAUAUAUUUUUUUAAACGACCAUCUCAUUCUUUACCACGACUUUAUCACGUAUUUCGAUCAUUUCCACGAUAGUACUCACUGUUUUUCUCAACAACUUCUUCUUUUUAACUCAAUGGUAAACCUCUUCUAACAAAUGGCACAUACUGCCACCUAGUGUAGACUAGGGGUGUUCUACAAACCUGUUCCGAGGGGAACACACCCCUCCCGUAAUGAAAGUGGCGUUGGAGUAAACUCUAGUAGCUAGCAAAUACCCUAACGCUAACUCCUCCUCCCCACUCCCAGACACUGUCCUCUUAUUACGGGAUGUGCUCGUUAUUUAUUUGAUUACAGUGUUUGUCUACUACUUCAUCUGCCAAAACAAUGAGUAGAAAGUGCUGUCUCAUUCACAUUACAUACUUCAUAGGAGCUGAAUCAGACAGACAAACAUCUGUCCCUGAACUCUACACACCAGCUGACAAAGCCUACACAGGUAUAAUUCAAAUAAUGCAUGUCACAACAAGAGGCCCAGCACUUCAAGCCAAGCCUCCCCCUCCUCUCUCCCCACCAGCAAAAUGUACAUCGCAUCUCACGCCCAACCUGGUCUCAGGUAUUCCGAGGAAGGAAGAUGGCCCAUGUGGAAUGAUGACAGCUUCCUGCAGAGUCACAUACAGGUUGAUACAGUUCAGUUGUUGGUGGUAACAUGCAACACAGCACUGCUUGCUUCAGUAAAUCUUAAAAUCUACCAAUUUGAUGACCCGGUUGGAGGCAUUUCCUUUUGAUGUUCUGUAUUAUGGCAUACUUCAUGUUUUGUGGGGACCCCAGGAUGAGUAGCUGCUGCUUUCACAACAGCCAAAGGGGAUCCUAAUAAAAUACCACAUUGCAAAAUAACCUUGUGUGGAGUGAGGAGCCAUAAGUAUGUUGGGUCGUCAUAGUUGUGGCUUGAGAUAUGCUAAAUAGGCAGUCUUAAAUUAACCAACCAAAACGAGGAAGAAGAGAACAGAGAGAACUCCUUCCGAUUCUAGAACACUGGGAAUUAAAAUAACAUUCUGUCUAAUUCAGCAUUCUAUUAUACCACCAGCCCAUGUGACAUCUACAGACAUGGGCUAUAUUUAAUGUUAUAAUAGGAAAAACUAUAGAGAAGAGCAGUUGAGAGGAGAGGAUAGGAGGGAAGAGUGGGGAGGCGGGGAGAGAGGAGGGAAGAGAAGAGAGGAGAGAUAGGAGAGGAAAGGAGGGAGGAGAAGAGAGGAGAAGAGAAGUGUCCCUCCUGUUGCUGCAAACACAGAUAUAGGAUCUUCAUUUGAUCCCCCUGGUACAGGAGAACUUCCCUGCAAAGCAGGAAAAGUACAACUUGGAGUGUAUUUGAGGUUUAAAAAGGUUUUUGAAGUUCAGAUUUUUUUUAUUUUUAAAUAAACCCCAACAGAAAACAUCCAUUAAUUAUAAUCCACAUAAUAAUUGACAUUUCCUGUUAAUGCAGGAUUAUUUUCCUGCUGUAGCAAAAUGGUUCAAAGGAAGAUCCUUCAUCAUAUGUGAGUAAGGAGAGUCACAGUUUUCUCUCAUGAUUGAUCUCAACUGAAACUGUUGCCCAACAGAAACUCAAUGUCUCUCUCUCUCUCUCUCUCAAACCUGGGAUUGUACUUUUGUCCAUCACAUCAGCUGCAAUACCGUAAAUCCCCUAAACCUAACCCUUGUCACAACCCCAACACCGUGAGGGUUAAGAACAGUUUGUGCGUGUUGACAUCCUGUGAGUUUUAUAAAUAGGUUAUAAAGUACAUCUAAAAACCACUUCAACUCUGAGCAGAGGACCGACCUCACAUUAUCUGAUGUACAUUCUUAUCCACUUACAAGAGGAAUUAUGAUAAAAUACAGAUGUGUCACCUAGUCAUCUCAGGGAUUUGAAUCAGCAACCUUCCAGGUACUGGCCCAAUGCUCUUAAUACUAGGACACACACACAACACAAAAAUCAGAUCGAUUAUAAUUUCUCUAAUAUAUAAGAAUCCUCUGACUCAGUAUCUCCAUGAUAACUUCAGAUAUACUGUAACAGUUUCUACUGAGACGCCUGCUGAAAGACUGAAACACCUGCUGAAAGACUGAAACACCUGCUGAAAGACCGAAACACCUGCUGAAAGACCGAAACACCUGCUGAAAGACUGAAUCUCCUGCUGAAAGACUGAAACACCUGCUGAAAGACCGAAACACCUGCUGAAUCUCCUGCUGAAAGACUGAAACACCUGCUGAAAGACUGAAACACCUGCUGAAAGACUGAAACACCUGCUGAAAGACUGAAACACCUGCUGAAAGACUGAAACACCUGCUGAAAGACUGAAACACCUGCUGAAAGACUGAAUCACCUGCUGAAAGACUGAAACACCUGCUGAAAGACUGAAACACCUGCUGAAAGACUGAAACACCUGGUAAUGAAUAAAUCACCUGCUGAAAGACUGAAUCUCCUGCUGAAAGACUGAAUCACCUGCUGAAAGGACUGAAUCUCCUGCUGAAAGACUGAAACACCUGCUGAAAGACUGAAACGCCUGCUGAAAGACUGAAACACCUGCUGAAAGACUGAAACACCUGCUGAAAGACUGAAUCACCUGCUGAAAGACUGAAACACCUGCUGAAAGACUGAAACACCUGGUAAUGAAUAAAUCACCUGCUGAAAGACUGAAUCUCCUGCUGAAAGACUGAAUCACCUGCUGAAAGACUGAAUCUCCUGCUGAAAGACUGAAACACCUGCUGAAAGACUGAAACACCUGGUAAUGAAUAAAUCACCUGCUGAAAGACUGAAUCACCUGCUGAAAGACUGAAUCUCCUACUGAAGACUGAAACACCUGCUGAAAGACUGAAACACCUGCUGAAAGACUGAAACACCUGCUGAAAGACUGAAUCACCUGCUGAAAGACUGAAUCUCCUGCUGAAAGACUGAAUCUCCUGCGGAAAGACUGAAACACCUGCUGAAAGACUGAAAACACCUGGUAAUGAAUAAAUCACCUGCUGAAAGACUGAAACACCUGCUGAAAGACUGAAACACCUGCUGAAGGACUGAAACACCUGGUAAUGAAUAAAUCACCUGCUGAAAGACUGAAAGACUGCUGAAGACU